rnacentral:rRNA from 1 species
CACGUAGGGGGCAAGCGUUGUCCGGAUUUAUUGGGCGUAAAGAGCUCGUAGGCGGCUCAGUAAGUCAGGUGUGAAACCUCCAGGCUCAACCUGGAGACGCCACCUGAUACUGCUGUGGCUAGAGUCCGGUAGGGGAGCGUGGAAUUCCUGGUGUAGCGGUGAAAUGCGCAGAUAGCAGGAGGAACACCGAUGGCGAAGGCAGCUCGCUGGGACGGUACUGACGCUGAGACGCGAAAGCGUGGGGAGCGAACAGG